rnacentral:tRNA from 1 species
AAAGAAUUAGUUAAAAUAUAACAUAAAUAUGUCAAAUUUAAAUUAUUAAUAAAUUAAUACUCUUUU